UACGUAGGCAGCGAGCGUUGUUCGGAAUUACUGGGCGUAAAGCGCACGUAGGCGGCUUUGUAAGUAAGAGGUGAAAGCCUGGAGCUCAACUCCAGAACUGCCUUUUAGACUGCAUCGCUUGAAUCCAGGAGAGGUGAGUGGAAUUCCGAGUGUAGAGGUGAAAUUCGUAGAUAUUCGGAAGAACACCAGUGGCGAAGGCGGCUCACUGGACUGGUAUUGACGCUGAGGUGCGAAAGCGUGGGGAGCAAACAGG
rnacentral:rRNA from 1 species